rnacentral:lncRNA from 1 species
UCGGACUCCGGGCUUCCGGGGGCAGCCUGCAGCAGUCCCGGGCGCGGCACCUGCGGCGGGCGACUCUCCCGCUGGGGCGCAGGGCCCCGGCCACGGGGCAUCCCAGCCGAAGCCGGCGCGGGUGACGGGCCGGGUUGGGAGAGCUGCGCCUCGGCGUUUGGGGGAGACUCCGCGUCAUCAGGAUCUUGGGUUAUGUUCCUGAUUUUAUGCAGAUGCCACGGCUCCGUAUAUAAAGGACAUUCACUAAAAAGAAGGAGACUCUGCAAGGAUCUGCUAUCACAGAUAUGGAGGUUGGGAAGAAUUGUCCAGACACCAUUAAAAGCAUGAAUGUGUACCUUUGGUAUUGAACGUGGUGUAGAUUGAAGGAGCAAAAGAUCUCUUCUUCCUUUCGUAGUUGACCUGUGAACAACACUGGUUUGAACUGCACUGGUUCACUUAUACGUGGAUUUUUUUUGAUGAAUACAAUACUGUAAGUAGAUGUUCUAUUAUAAUUUUCUUAAUAAUAUUUUCUUUAUCUUGCUUUAUUGCAAGAAUAUAUUAUACAUAUAACAUACAAUAAAUGUUAAUUGA